rnacentral:rRNA from 1 species
AGAGUUUGAUCAUGGCUCAGAUUGAACGCUGGCGGCAUGCCUUACACAUGCAAGUCGAACGGCAGCACGGGGGCAACCCUGGUGGCGAGUGGCGAACGGGUGAGUAAUACAUCGGAACGUGCCCAGUAGUGGGGGAUAGCUCGGCGAAAGCCGGAUUAAUACCGCAUACGACCUACGGGUGAAAGCGGGGGAUCGCAAGACCUCGCGCUAUUGGAGCGGCCGAUGUCAGAUUAGGUUGUUGGUGGGGUAAAAGCCCACCAAGCCGACGAUCUGUAGCUGGUCUGAGAGGACGACCAGCCACACUGGGACUGAGACACGGCCCAGACUCCUACGGGAGGCAGCAGUGGGGAAUUUUGGACAAUGGGCGAAAGCCUGAUCCAGCCAUGCCGCGUGCGGGAAGAAGGCCUUCGGGUUGUAAACCGCUUUUGUCAGGGAAGAAAUCUUCCGAGCUAAUACCUUGGGAGGAUGACGGUACCUGAAGAAUAAGCACCGGCUAACUACGUGCCAGCAGCCGCGGUAAUACGUAGGGUGCAAGCGUUAAUCGGAAUUACUGGGCGUAAAGCGUGCGCAGGCGGUUAUGCAAGACAGAUGUGAAAUCCCCGGGCUUAACCUGGGAACUGCAUUUGUGACUGCAUAGCUGGAGUACGGUAGAGGGGGAUGGAAUUCCGCGUAGCAGUGAAAUGCGUAGAUAUGCGGAGGAACACCGAUGGCGAAGGCAGUCCCCUGGACCUGUACUGACGCUCAUGCACGAAAGCGUGGGGAGCAAACAGGAUUAGAUACCCUAGUAGUCC